rnacentral:sRNA from 1 species
UUAAGCUGUUCUACGUCUCAAUGACAAUUUUUAGCGCACGGCUCUUUGAGAGAGUCAUUUUCCCUAAGCCGAGUAGAGGAGUAGACUCGGCCUUUUUUU